GUGGUCACUUCAGCAGCACAUAGACCAAAAUUGAAACUGUACACAAGUUAGCAUGGUCCCUGUAUAAGGAUGACAUGUAAAUUAACAAAACAUUCAUUAUUUUA
ensembl:snRNA U6 U6 spliceosomal RNA